rnacentral:rRNA from 1 species
AUUGAACGCUGGCGGCAGGCCUAACACAUGCAAGUCGAGCGGAGCGGCGGACGGGUGAGUAAUGCCUAGGAAUCUGCCUUGUACUGGGGGAUCACGUCCGGAAACGGGAGCUCAUCCCGCAUACUCUCAGAUGAGCCUAGGUCGGAUUAGCUAGAUGGUGGGGUAAAGGCCUACCAAGGCGACGAUCCGUAAGUGGCCUGAGAGGAUGAUCAGUCACACGUGAACGGUGACAAGUUCGAGACUCCUACGGGAGUCAACAGUGGGGAAUAUUUGACAAUGGGCGGAAGUCUAAUUUAGCCAUGCGGCGUGUGUGAAGAAGGGCUUCGGAUUGUAAAGCACGUGAAUUUGUGAAGCGUUACCAACCGAAUAAGCACCGGCUAACUUCGUGCCAGCAGCCGCGGUAAUUC